AUGAACGCUGGCGGCGUGCCUAAUACCUGCCAGUCGAGCGAACAGACGAGGAGCUUGCUCCUCUGACGUUAGCGGCGGACGGGUGAGUAACACGUGGAUAACCUACCUAUAAGACUGGGAUAACUUCGGGAAACCGGAGCUAAUACCGGAUAAUAUAUUGCACCGCAUGGUUCAAUAGUGAAAGACGGUUUUGCUGUCACUUAUAGAUGGAUCCGCGCCGCAUUAGCUAGUUGGUAAGGUAACGGCUUACCAAGGCAACGAUGCGUAGCCGACCUGAGAGGGUGAUCGGCCACACUGGAACUGAGACACGGUCCAGACUCCUACGAGAGGCAGCAGUAGGGAAUCUUCCGCAAUGGGCGAAAGCCUGACGGAACAACGCCGCGUGAGUGAUGAAGGUCUUCGGAUCGUAAAACUCUGUUAUUAGGGAAGAACAAAUGUGUAAGUAACUAUGCACGUCUUGACGGUACCUAAUCAGAAAGCCACGGCUAACUACGUG
rnacentral:rRNA from 1 species